GACAGUCCAUUCUAUAUACCCCGGCAAUUCUUCUUUAUGGUUGUGAGUCACGGAUUUCAGCCAGAGCACUCUGAGAGAUUAUACAGAUUUUCUAGCAGCUGCUCCAGACUGAUACUUGGCAUCAUGAAAUAGGAUAAAAUUACAGCUUUAGAAUAUGACAAGAAAGCCAACAAAAGGUGCCCUCAAGUAACAGUGACGCAACGAUGGCAUCUGAGAUGGAUCCGUGUACACUGCAGUUACCAUGGUAAUGGGCACUGAGUGAUUACGUCAUGUGGAAGCGCCGACGGACCUGGUGGGUGCCUGUGUUCCGGAAGCGUGGUGAUGGUGAUAAUUGUACACACUGGGUAUUUAGCUGGGCACCGAACAACAGUGAGUAAGGAUUGCCAGGACGGAAGUUCUGGUGCCAAGCUGGACCGCUGCCCCAUAGCUACUCAUGCCCAAGACAACUUCCUCCUCUGCCUUCCCAGGCGUGAGAUGAUUUCAUGUUACAGUAAUUAGGAGAAGCUCUGAGUCCUAUUUUCCUUUACUUGUCAGCAGUGAAUUUUCUGUAGGAUUCCCCGGAGAAUAUUGUCCCUCGCACGGAUUAAGGCGCUUCCUCUUCUUCCCUCUCGGAUGGGUUAAGGUCAUAUACUCUGUGGAAGACUUUUCUUAAACAAUGAGGGAUUUUAUUAAACCUUUCUAGCUAAUUAAAUGCCCUGUACUUUGUGACAAUCUGCAGGUGGUAAUCACCCGAAAAUAUUGUUCUUUCUUCUACAUCUAUAUCUACCAUCGCCCCAACAAGCCCAGUAAUAUAGUGCAAGAUAUGUUAUAUUGUGAAAUAAGUCAGUAAAAUAUUC